CCAUUGCUGAGGAGUCCCAUAGUGGGACGAAACGGCCGUCCAGUGC
rnacentral:hammerhead_ribozyme from 1 species